CGCAUCUGUGCAUGCAGCAUAUCAAUAGCGGAGGAAAAGAAACUAACAAGGAUUCCCCUAGUAACGGCGAGUGAAGCGGGAAGAGCUCAAAUUUGAAAUCUUAAAGGGUUUCCCUUUACGAAUUGUAGUUUAAAGAAGGGUUUUCUGUUGAGGUUUUGGUAAAAGUUCUUUGGAAUAGGACAUCAUAGAGGGUGAGAAUCCCGUAUUUGACCUUUACUUUCAACUUUGUGAUACACUUUCAAAGAGUCGGAUUGUUUGGGAAUGCAGUCCAAAAUGGGUGGUAAAUUUCAUCUAAAGCUAAAUAUUGGCGAGAGACCGAUAGCGAACAAGUACCGUGAGGGAAAGAUGAAAAGAACUUUGAAAAGAGAGUUAAACAGUACGUGAAAUUGUCAAAAGGGAAGCGUUUGACACCAGUGUUGUUUUUCUGAAAAUCAAUUAAAGAACUGUUUAUGCUAAGUUGUUUAGACUUUAUCAGCUAUCUGCUUUAGUUUUGAGCUUUUCUUUAAUGCACUUUUCAGUUAACAAGUCAACAUCAAUUUCUUUUGCUGUAAAAAAGCUUGAGGAAGGUGGCUUGAGAUUCGUCUUAAGUGUUUAUAGCCUCUUGCCUAUGCAGUCGGAGAGAUUGAGGUCCUGCAGCGUAGAUCCUUCGGGGCUAAAUGCAUUUGUGCUAAGUUAUAGCAUUUUAUAGACAACUUGUUGACUAUGAUUUGUCUUGUAGCUUACUCGCUUAUGUUAUUUUACCUACGCUUAGGAUGUUGAAGAUGUAGCACAUCAU
rnacentral:rRNA from 1 species